UCCAUAUUGUUUGACUACUUCAGCAAUGAGACAAAAGUGGAGCCUUUUUUAUUUUAUCUCGAAAAGAAAGUUGCAAUGUUUUAAUCUGAAAAACUAAGAUUUGGGAUUUGCAAGGUUUCAAAUAGGGGAUGAAUGCUUAUUUGAAGUGGGCAGAGGUUCCCCCAGUUCUCUCACUUCUCUUCAAUGGUCACAUGAAGUUAGUGGGCUUCGAGGCUGUGGAUGGGGAUGAACAGAAACAGGAUAUUGACCCUGGCAAAACCAAGUGACUAUGCUUGUGGGAGCUUCUGGAUAUGAACAUUUUGUAUCUGAAUAAGGCUUGACCGCCUUUUUCCGGAGGAGGGCUGGAUAUCAGC